rnacentral:rRNA from 1 species
GACGAACGCUGGCGGCAUGCCUAAUACAUGCAAGUCGAGCGAACAGAUGAAGUGCUUGCACUUCUGACGUUAGCGGCGAACGGGUGAGUAACACGUAAGGAAUCUACCUAUAAGCGGGGGAUAACAUUCGGAAACGGGUGCUAAUACCGCAUAAUAUCCUCUUCCGCAUGGAAGAAGAUUGAAAGACGGCUCUGCUGUCACUUAUAGAUGACCUUGCGGUGCAUUAGUUAGUUGGUGGGGUAACGGCCUACCAAGACGAUGAUGCAUAGCCGACCUGAGAGGGUGAUCGGCCACAUUGGAACUGAGACACGGCCCAAACUCCUACGGGAGGCAGCAGUAGGGAAUCUUCCGCAAUGGGCGAAAGCCUGACGGAGCAAUGCCGCGUGAGUGAAGAAGGCCUUCGGGUCGUAAAACUCUGUUAUAAGAGAAGAACAAAUUGUAGAGUAACUGCUACAGUCUUGACGGUAUCUUAUCAGAAAGCCACGGCUAACUACGUGCCAGCCGCCGCCGUAA